AUUAGAAUUUCUUUUCUCUCUUUCUCCUCAGCCGCGCAGACCCCCCCUCCGCUUCUCGUUUUUUUUUCUUUUCUUCAAGCGCGUCCGCCCUAGCGCCGUUGAAGCCAGCUGCCAUCGCCGCGAAGAGCUGUCGUUUUUCCGAUUCGUUCAGCGCACCAAUCGAUCACGUCUCCAGCCACACCGCCGGUUCAAGUCGCCCACCUUUGCGCGCCGCUGUUCGCGGAUCUGAAGCCGGCGCGGGUUUCAGUCGACAGCCGUCUCUUUUGUUUGGUGUUCGCAGAACAGCGCCGCCCAAGCCGAUCAGCACCUUCAUGCACAAGCUUCCGAGGAAAACCUCGAGUAAGACAUCAUUUUGUUUUGCAGAAAAUUGUAAUAGUGGGAAAAUUAAGUUAUUAAUUUUGGAUUUAAUUCAUGAUCAGAUUGUUGGAAUUUGUCUUUUACGUGGGCGGUGGAUUUAUAAAGUAAAGAUUAGAUUUAUAAAGUAAAUUAAUGGACUCUUGAAUAUUCACGUUCAUGUUGUUUUUUUCAUGUUUGACGGUGUGCCAUUCGACCACUAAACAUACGAAUCAAUGGUAAUCGAUGUAGUUGUUUGAGCCACGAGCCAUCAUUCUCUGAUCCUGAUACAUCAACUCCCAAUCUUCCCCAACAAACAGCCAAUGGAGGACGGCUCUCUUCCUCCGAUCCGCAUCUUCCUCCACCUCGCAACAACCAAAGAGCCACCCGAAACAAUGCCAAAGCAAUAAUUGAAGAACAUGCCACCAGACUCUCUCUCAAAAGCUUCAGAUCUCAUCGCGUUUCGAUUAGGAAACGCAGAAGAUGCGAACGCCAACGUGCUAGGCAACCCGCGUCCCGGAAUUCCUCCCAAGGUUAUAUUGUGGCGGUUUCUUUCUCGAACAUUUGCUUUGCGAUUCUUUCGUUGAUUCUGCAUGAUCUGGUUUCUGUUAACUCACAUUGAAGAUGAAGAUGAAGAUGAACCAAGGGGUAAUAUUUUUUUUUCCCCAUUGGCAUUGUCUGCAAAAUUCUUUUAUUGAUACAUUUUUUGAGAUGAGAGGAUGGGAAUCUGUUUGGUUUGAUCAUGAAUUUUGUUCUUGGGAAAAAUCAGGGGUGAAUUUUAGGAGAAGGCUUCUUCAUAUUUCUGUUAUCUCAGGGUUUCUGUGGCAGGAGGGCAAGAAAUGGAAUAGAAUUUUGGCAAUAGGAGGAAAGGAAUUAUAUUCUGUCUUCUAAAGUGACUGAUCUGAUUUUACAAAAGAAGAUUUUCCAUCUCUUAUACGUCAAUCCAACACACUUUUUCCUUAACCACUCUUUCUCUUCAAGAACCUUUAUCUCUUUGGAAUCAUAUUAAAAGCACAGUUUUCCCCCUUUUUUCUGUUCUUACUUCAGUUUUAAUGAGAUUGAUCUAUGGUGACUACCUACCUAAGAUUUAAUAUCUUACAAGUUUCCUUGACAUUCACAUGUUAUAAGAUCAAACGGGUUGUCCCAUAAGAUUAGUCGAGAUGCGCGUAAGCUGGUCCGAACACUAACGGAUAUUUAAAAAAAUGUUUCAACGGGAUUGAACCAUCAAUCUUUGAAAAGAAAAUAUGUGUCUUAUCCAUGAAACUAGUUUAUGAUUCACCUCACAAUUUAUUGUUCUCUUCUUUCAAAAUAAUAUUGAAUAACAAGUUCCUUCUUGUCAAUUUGUUGAUAAGUUUUUUCUUCUCUCCUGGGUUGGUUAUACAAAGGCAUUUUCUAUCAUGAAUUUCUGUAUCCAUAAGUUUCAUUUAGGUUCUGUCCACACACAUUUUUUGUUUUGCAUCACUAUUAUGCGAUGUUCUCUCUUAAUAGUUAAAUACAUCAAAAGUCAAUAUCUAGAUAUCUUUCUAAAGUAAAAGUAUGCACUAGUAUUAACACAAUGAUAUCUAAUUCUUGGUGAUGAGAUCAAGUUUCUUAUUUUACAAUAAAUUAUACAGAUGCUAUAUUCUAGGAAUAUCAUGUUUAAAAUCUCUAAAACGAAUAGUCUAUUAAACUUAUGCUCGAACUUAAAUGGUAUACUUUAUUAAAAAUUCUAAAUACUCAUAUAUGACUCAUUUACAAGUAUCUUUACAUUUACCAUAAAAAAGAAAAAGAAGAAAUUACAAAAUGGGAGUCUAUUUUAAGCCACGCAUUCAAUUUAUCUAAGAAGUUAGUUUUGAAUUCUUUUCUGAAUUAAAAAACAUUAUUUUGUGAGUAUAUAUUCCAAUCCAUAUAUGUCUCUAUAAGCUAUACACUUUAUAGGGGCCAUUGUUGGUUCUUUUUGGUAGUUAAAAACAGGCAGUCUCAACCCUCCAUUUACCCAUAGAAGAUUGAAUUUGAACAUCAAAAUCAAUCUACAUGAAGAAAGGGCUAUUCAUUUUGUUCUUCUUCUCUCUUCUUUGCCUCUAUCUCCUUCCAUUUUGCCUAUCUGAAACCAAUUUCACCACCAAAGCUGAUGAUCGCUACAAGCAGCUGAAGCAGGGGAAGCCCAGAAAAGAUUUACAUGGAAGUGAACAAAUAAAUGGUGGAGCUGCGAUGGCGAGAGUUAUUAGAGCAAAAGCAGUUUAUGGUGGGGCGAACGACAUUCAUCACGGGCACUCGAAGAAUGGUGCUAACCCUUUACAGAUCAAAUCAAUUUCUUCGAUGCUGUGGAAAGUUUCAUUUAGUUUCUUUUGUUUCUGUCUUGUUCUUAAAGGUUUUUAAGAAACGGCUCUGUUGUAGGCUUGUAGCAGAGCAAUUUAAGUGUUAUGUUCUGUAAUGGUUUAAACCUUGUUUAUGGCCAAUGUUAUUGUUGGAUUACUUGACUUUGAAGCUUCAUAACGCUUGAUUCUCUACACUUUUUUUUUUUCUUUCUGGACCAAAAUCUUGUUCUUCCAAGCCUGUUUACCAAGGUUCAAAGUCGGUCAUUUGUAAUUUCCUUUGUCUUUUGGCAAGUGUUUUAUGUUCUGACCUAUGGUAAUGAUGUUGGAGGGGUAGAUUUUGGGUCGGGAAGAAUUUGUUCUCGGCAGCUCGGAUACAGUGGUCUUCAUUUGUGUCUGAUUUUGGUGGAGAAUAUUAAAAUAAAGUGAAGUAUAUUGAUUGCUUU